GUCCUUUUGAAUUAAUAUAAGGUCUAACCUGCCCACUGAAAUUUAAAUGGCCGCAGUAUACUAACUGUGCAAAGGUAGCAUAAUAAUUAGUCUUUUAAUUGAAGGCUGGAAUGAAUGGUUGGACGAGAUAUUAACUGUUUCAUAUGAAUUUAUAGUAGAAUUUUAUUUUUCAGUCAAAAAGCUGAAAUUGUCUUAAAAGACGAGAAGACCCUAUAAAUCUUUACAUUUAAUAAAUUAUUCCAAUUAAGAAUAGUCUAAGAAUUUUUUAUUUAAGUGUUUUAUUGGGGUGAUAUUAAAAUUUAAUAAACUUUUAAAAUUAAGCACAUUUAUUUAUGAUUAAAUGAUCCGUUAAAACGAUUAGUAAAUUAAGUUACUUUAGGGAUAACAGCGUAAUUUUUUUGGAGAGUUCAUAUCGAUAAAAAAGAUUGCGACCUCGAUGUUGGAUUAAGGAAUAAGUUUAGGCGCAGCCGUUUAAAUGAUAAGUCUGUUCGACUUUUUAACCCUU
rnacentral:rRNA from 1 species